AUUGAACGCUGGCGGCAUGCCUUACACAUGCAAGUCGAACGGUAACGCGGGGCAACCUGGCGACGAGUGGCGAACGGGUGAGUAAAGCAUCGGAACGUGCCCAGUAGUGGGGGAUAGCCCGGCGAAAGCCGGAUUAAUACCGCAUACGACCUAUGGGUGAGAGGGGGGGAUCGCAAGACCUCUCGCUAUUGGAGCGGCCGAUGUCAGAUUAGGUAGUUGGUGGGGUAAAGGCCUACCAAGCCGACGAUCUGUAGCUGGUCUGAGAGGACGUCCAGCCACACUGGGACUGAGACACGGCCCAGACUCCUACGGGAGGCAGCAGUGGGGAAUUUUGGACAAUGGGCGCAAGCCUGAUCCAGCCAUGCCGCGUGCGGGAAGAAGGCCUUCGGGUUGUAAACCGCUUUUGUCAGGGAAGAAAUCCUUUGGGUUAAUACCUCGGGGGGAUGACGGUACCUGAAGAAUAAGCACCGGCUAACUACGUGCCAGCCGCCGCAGUAA
rnacentral:rRNA from 1 species